CUGGAAGGGGUGUAUUUAUUAGAUAAAAAUCAACUUUGUUGGUGAAUCAUAAUAACUUCUCGGACCGCAUGGCCUCGUGCUGGCGGUGCUUCAUUCAAAUAUCUGCCCUAUCAACUGUCGAUGGUAGGAUAGAGGCCUACCAUGGUUGCAACGGGUAACGGGGAAUAAGGGUUCGAUUCCGGAGAGGGAGCCUGAGAAACGGCUACCACAUCCAAGGAAGGCAGCAGGCGCGCAAAUUACCCAAUCCCAACACGGGGAGGUAGUGACAAUAUGUAACAAUAUACGGCCUUAUACAUCGUAUAAUUGGAAUGAGUACAAUUUAAAUCCCUUAACGAGGAACAAUUGGAGGGCAAGUCUGGUGCCAGCAGCCGCGGUAAUUCCAGCUCCAAUAGCGUAUAUUAAAGUUGUUGCAGUUAAAAAGCUCGUAGUUGGACCUUGGACCUGGACAGGCGGUCCGCCUCACGGCGAGUACUGUCUUGCUGGGUCUUUCCUCUUGGUGAUCUGUUGUUUCGGCAGCAGGGAACCAGGACCUUUACUUUGAAAAAAUUAGAGUGUUCAAAGCAGGCUCGACGCCGG
rnacentral:rRNA from 1 species